GUUUGAGACCACUGGUCUAAACAUUGAUCUUUAAAAACAGCUGUGAGAGUAAAGAAGAAUACUUAGAAUCCCACUGGUUGAUGGGACAAUGUGAACUCAUACCUUCUGGAUGGUUAUCAUCCUUGGCUUAUGACAUGGUAGCGAUUCACACCACCUGGGCAUGCACAAAGUGCCAGCGUUCAGCUGACACCAGGAGGGACUGACAAGCUUUGGAGAUUUGACAGAGACCCACAUGUCAGGGUUGAAAUGUUGCUUCACGUCACUGUACGUUGUUGCAAUAAACAAGACUAAUUUAUAAGAAUGCUGGACGUCGUACUCUUUGUCAAUUGAACUUCUGGAUUGGGUCCAUCUGGCUGAUAUUCCAGGCAUUUUGUGGUUUACAGCAGGCAAUGCGGUCCCAAACGUCUUCUUGAUUUUGACCUAGAGGAGGGGUUGUGACAUUCUGUCCCUGACUACUUCCAUGUUAUAAUAACAGAUUUGUUAGGUUAUAAUAACAUACGGCCGUAAAUCAUCUGCAGCAUGAGUGACAUUUAUACAGAGAUCCAUCAGGACACAAGAAGGUGGAGCAGCCAGUUCAC